rnacentral:misc_RNA from 1 species
GAAAAGCAAAAGCUCAUCCAUUGUCAAACUGCAGUUUGGAUCUUCGAGUUAAUUGGGAGUUUUAAAAGCAAAUUUUUCUUGAAAAUAUUGCCUUUUUGGUAGCCUAGUGUUAAUCACAACUUUACACAUAUGGCUAAUGAGAGAGAAAAAUAUAAUGUACAUUGAUAGGCUACUACAGAUGUUGGGCAGUAAGCAUCUAAACUUUUCACUUUCUCUAUCUAUUAGAGAUCAUAAAACUCAUAAAUUAAAUUCCAAAGAAAGAAUUAUAC